rnacentral:lncRNA from 1 species
AUUCUACCUCGACAGGUAAGUUUGUAUUUAGCCUAUAAAAUACUUAUUUAGCCUUGAGAAUUGAAAGGUCAGUUUAUCCCAUUCAUACAAUAAAAGUUUACCUUUAAGGGUCUGAACGGGGUUUACAGAAUUGAGAAUACAUGUAAUAGCAACAAAAAAUAGAGAAUAGAGAAAAUGAAAAACAAAAUAAAGAAUAGAGAAUAAUUUAAUGCGAUGCAAAAGUCUAAAGAAUAACUGUGCAAAAUAAAAAGGUAACUUAGGUAACUGUAAUGCAAUACUGAUAAAAUAAACGAUCAACGUACAGAAUUCAUAAAUAAUGUUGAAACAGAAAGACUAAAUAGUAAAAUCAUUUUUAUAUGAAAUUUACAGAAUGAGAGUUAUUUUUAAGGCUAUUAAAAGAAAAUGCCCUAAAAAUUUAAAGAAUACAGAUAUUAAAAAAAACCCAUGCAGGUCCUCAUGUCAUUUACAUUGUCAAAAUAUAGGACACAUCUAGUCAAACUGGUUUUAAACUAGACAUCUAGUAAAACUGGUUUGGUAUAACUGACUGUUUCUUGC